UAUAGACGUAUAUCAAUGUUUUUUUCCGAUCAGAGAAUGAGAAUAUUUUCUAACAUAUGAAGUCGAAGAUCACAUGUGUUACUUUAACGUUUUUGUUUCCAAUAGAGAUUGGUAAACAUUUACAGUGUAAAGGUUCAGUCAUUAGAUGCAUUUACGUAGGUUUUAUUCAUAUUUUAAAUUGAAUAAAUGUCAUUGUUUGCGUCCAAACUUAAACAAUCAAGUACAAAAAGAUAUAACUAAGGGAGAUAAUUUUCUACUUCCGGUUCAGAAGAUGUUACUUCCGGUAUUUUUUAAUAGUUUACUUGACCCUGCUUAACCGAACACUUUCCCAUAUAAGAGUUAUCUCCCCGAACACUGUUUUUCUUGUUAUCGCUUAAUAUUCGCAACCGUAUAAGAAACCGACAAAUUUAUUUUACCAAAUUGCUCGUUAUAUCCUCAGGAUGAAUUGAUCAAUUUUGACUGAAGCUAUCCGGAGACUCCAUACGAGAGUUAUUUCCCCUUUUUUAUUUGAUAUAAGUGAAAUGUAUUUCUAACUGGAAACCAUAAGUGAUAUAGGCCUAGGGUCUUUUGAUUUGAGGUCCACGGUUCCAAAAAAAAUAAAAAGAGAGGUCAAGGUCAUGUAAAAAAAAAUGAUUUUGGCUUGUUAUCUCUCAUUUUCAGAAAUCUUAUAAGAUAUCGACAAAAUAUUUUCAC
rnacentral:lncRNA from 1 species